rnacentral:rRNA from 1 species
CCUACGGGAGGCAGCAGUAGGGAAUUUUCGUCAAUGGGCGCAAGCCUGAACGAGCGAUGCCGCGUGAGUGAAGACGGCCUUCGGGUCGUAAAGCUCUGUUGCGGGGGAAAAAAGGCAGCAUCAGGAAAUGGGUGCUGACUGAUGGUGCCCCGCCAGAAAGUCACGGCUAACUACGUGCCAGCAGCCGCGGUAAUACGUAGGUGGCGAGCGUUAUCCGGAAUGAUUGGGCGUAAAGGGUGCGCAGGCGGUCCUGCAAGUCUGGAGUGAAACGCAUGGGCUCAACUCAUGCAUGGCUGUGGAAACUGGAGGGCUGGAGAGCAGGGGAGGGAGGGGGAAUUCGAGGUGUAGCGGUAAAAUGCGUAGAUAUAUGGAAGAACACCAGUGGCGAAGGCGGCCGCCUGGCGUGGUGCUGACGCUGAGGCACGAAAGCGUGGGGAGCAAAUAGGAUUAGAUACCCGUGUAGUC